rnacentral:rRNA from 1 species
UACGGAGGGUGCAAGCGUUAUCCGGAUUUACUGGGUUUAAAGGGUGCGCAGGCGGAUAUGUAAGUCAGUGGUGAAAUCUUCCCGCUUAACGGGUAAACUGCCGUUGAUACUAUAUAUCUUGAAUGCUGUGGAGGUAAGCAGAAUAUGUCAUGUAGCGGUGAAAUGCUUAGAUAUGACAUAGAAUACCGAUUGCGAAGGCAGCUUACUACACAGAUAUUGACGCUCAUGCACGAAAGCGUGGGGAUCAAACAGG